GGCGAACGGGUGAGUAACACGUGGGUGACCUGCCCUCAGCUCUGGGAUAAGCCUGGGAAACUGGGUCUAAUACCGGAUAUGACUUGGCCUCGCAUGGGGUUGGGUGGAAAGUUUUUCGGCUGGGGAUGGGCCCGCGGCCUAUCAGCUUGUUGGUGGGGUGAUGGCCUACCAAGGCGACGACGGGUAGCCGGCCUGAGAGGGCGACCGGCCACACUGGGACUGAGACACGGCCCAGACUCCUACGGGAGGCAGCAGUGGGGAAUAUUGCGCAAUGGGCGAAAGCCUGACGCAGCGACGCCGCGUGGGGGAUGACGGCCUUCGGGUUGUAAACCUCUUUCGACCGGGACGAAGCGGAAGUGACGGUACCGGUAGAAGAAGCACCGGCCAACUACGUGCCAGCAGCCGCGGUAAUACGUAGGGUGCGAGCGUUGUCCGGAAUUAUUGGGCGUAAAGAGCUCGUAGGCGGUGUGUCGCGUCGGUCGUGAAAACUUGGGGCUCAACCCUGAGCUUGCGGUCGAUACGGGCAUCACUUGAGUUCGGCAGGGGAGACUGGAAUUCCUGGUGUAGCGGUGAAAUGCGCAGAUAUCAGGAGGAACACCGGUGGCGAAGGCGGGUCUCUGGGCCGAUACUGACGCUGAGGA
rnacentral:rRNA from 1 species